rnacentral:lncRNA from 1 species
AAACAUUGAAAACAACAUGUUUGAUAAUUUAUUGCGUCCGGAGAGCUUUUCUGGAUUUUCCUUCAUCAGGAACGCUCAAAGCAAACAUUUGAAAUCCGAAGAUAUAUAAGUACCGAAAAGUUCCAAGUGAAUUGUCAAUACCUAGUUCAUUUAUCAAGAAGUUUGUGUAAUGUGAUUUACACACGAACAUGAUGUUGUUUUAGACUUUAUCUGCGGGGACAUCAACAUUUGUCAUGAAGGUAGGACAAGUGCAUAAUCAUCAACUGGAUCCAUCAGUAUUUUGACUUGAAGUGGUUUCCAAUUGAUGGAUUUCGGCUCACGAUAUUUCGGACCUUUUGAUAACACAUUUCACCGAGGAGAGCUAUUGGCAGUGGUUAGGUCACCAGUUAAAACGUGGCUAGACAUAUUAUAUAGGAAUGGGGAAC